AGAGUUUGAUCCUGGCUCAGAACGAACGCUGGCGGCGUGGAUAAGACAUGCAAGUCGAGCGAGAUUUUUUCUUGUAGCAAUACAGGGAAAAGUCUAGCGGCGAACGGGUGCUUAACACGUGGGCAACCUGCCGUGAAGUGGGGGAUAGCUCGCCGAAAGGCGAAUUAAUACCGCAUGUGAUUAGAGAGGACAUCCUUUCGAAAUUAAAGUCGGGGCAACCUGACGCUUCUUGUGGGGCCCGCGGCCUAUCAGCUAGUUGGUGAGGUAACGGCUCACCAAGGCUUUGACGGGUAGCUGGUCUGAGAGGACGACCAGCCACACUGGGACUGAGACACGGCCCAGACACCUACGGGUGGCAGCAGUCGAGAAUUUUUGACAAUGGGGGAAACCCUGAUCGAGCGACGCCGCGUGGAGGAUGAAGGUCUUCGGAUUGUAAACUCCUGUCAUUGGGGAACAAGGUGCAUACGUUAACUGCGUGUGCAUUGAUAGUACCCGAAGAGGAAGAGACGGCUAACUCUGUGCCAGCAGCCGCGGUA
rnacentral:rRNA from 1 species